rnacentral:tRNA from 3 species
GCGCCUGUAGCUCAGUUGGAUAGAGCAACGGCCUUCUAAGCCGUGGGUCAGGAGUUCGAAUCUCUUCAGGCGCGCCA